AAUUCGCCCUUAGAGUUUGAUCAUGGCUCAGAUUGAACGCUGGCGGCAUGCCUUACACAUGCAAGUCGAACGGUAACAGGUCUUCGGACGCUGACGAGUGGCGAACGGGUGAGUAAUACAUCGGAACGUGCCCAGUCGUGGGGGAUAACUACUCGAAAGAGUAGCUAAUACCGCAUACGAUCUGAGGAUGAAAGCGGGGGACCUUCGGGCCUCGCGCGAUUGGAGCGGCCGAUGGCAGAUUAGGUAGUUGGUGGGAUAAAAGCUUACCAAGCCGACGAUCUGUAGCUGGUCUGAGAGGACGACCAGCCACACUGGGACUGAGACACGGCCCAGACUCCUACGGGAGGCAGCAGUGGGGAAUUUUGGACAAUGGGCGAAAGCCUGAUCCAGCAAUGCCGCGUGCAGGAUGAAGGCCUUCGGGUUGUAAACUGCUUUUGUACGGAACGAAAAAGCUU
rnacentral:rRNA from 1 species